AGCAGCCGCGGUAAUUCCAGCUCCAAUAGCGUAUAUUAAAGUUGUUGCAGUUAAAAAGCUCGUAGUUGAAUUUCGGGACUAAUAUGUCGGUCGUACUUUGUACGUACUAGCAUUAUUGGUUUCUCCCUUCUGACGAACCACGAUGUCAUUAAUUUGGUGUCAUGGGAAAUCAGGACUGUUACUUUGAAAAAAUUAGAGUGUUUAAAGCAAGCUCGCGCUUGAAUACAUUAGCAUGGAAUAAUGAAAUAGGACGUUUGAUUCUAUUUUGUUGGUUUCUAGGAUCGACGUAAUGAUUAAUAGGGAUAGUUGGGGGCAUUAGUAUUCAAUUGUCAGAGGUGAAAUUCUUGGAUUUAUUGAAGACUAACUACUGCGAAAGCAUUUGCCAAGGAUGUUUUCAUUAAUCAAGAACGAAAGUUAGGGGAUCGAAGACGAUCAGAUACCGUCGUAGUCUUAACCAUAAACUAUGCCGACUAGGGA
rnacentral:rRNA from 1 species